rnacentral:rRNA from 1 species
AGCACUGUUUCGGCAAGGGGGUCAUCCCGACUUACCAACCCGAUGCAAACUGCGAAUACCGGAGAAUGUUAUCACGGGAGACACACGGCGGGUGCUAACGUCCGUCGUGAAGAGGGAAACAACCCAGACCGCCAGCUAAGGUCCCAAAGUCAUGGUUAAGUGGGAAACGAUGUGGGAAGGCCCAGACAGCCAGGAUGUUGGCUUAGAAGCAGCCAUCAUUUAAAGAAAGCGUAAUAGCUCACUGGUCGAGUCGGCCUGCGCGGAAGAUGUAACGGGGCUAAACCAUGCACCGAAGCUGCGGCAGCGACGCUUAUGCGUUGUUGGGUAGGGGAGCGUUCUGUAAGCCUGUGAAGGUGUGCUGUGAGGCAUGCUGGAGGUAUCAGAAGUGCGAAUGCUGACAUAAGUAACGAUAAAGCGGGUGAAAAGCCCGCUCGCCGGAAGACCAAGGGUUCCUGUCCAACGUUAAUCGGGGCAGGGUGAGUCGACCCCUAAGGCGAGGCCGAAAGGCGUAGUCGAUGGGAAACAGGUUAAUAUUCCUGUACUUGGUGUUACUGCGAAGGGGGGACGGAGAAGGCUAUGUUGGCCGGGCGACGGUUGUCCCGGUUUAAGCGUGUAGGCUGGUUUUCCAGGCAAAUCCGGAAAAUCAAGGCUGAGGCGUGAUGACGAGGCACUACGGUGCUGAAGCAACAAAUGCCCUGCUUCCAGGAAAAGCCUCUAAGCAUCAGGUAACAUCAAAUCGUACCCCAAACCGACACAGGUGGUCAGGUAGAGAAUACCAAGGCGCUUGAGAGAACUCGGGUGAAGGAACUAGGCAAAAUGGUGCCGUAACUUCGGGAGAAGGCACGCUGAUAUGUAGGUGAAGUCCCUCGCGGAUGGAGCUGAAAUCAGUCGAAGAUACCAGCUGGCUGCAACUGUUUAUUAAAAACACAGCACUGUGCAAACACGAAAGUGGACGUAUACGGUGUGACGCCUGCCCGGUGCCGGAAGGUUAAUUGAUGGGGUCAGCGCAAGCGAAGCUCUUGAUCGAAGCCCCGGUAAACGGCGGCCGUAACUAUAACGGUCCUAAGGUAGCGAAAUUCCUUGUCGGGUAAGUUCCGACCUGCACGAAUGGCGUAAUGAUGGCCAGGCUGUCUCCACCCGAGACUCAGUGAAAUUGAACUCGCUGUGAAGAUGCAGUGUACCCGCGGCAAGACGGAAAGACCCCGUGAACCUUUACUAUAGCUUGACACUGAACAUUGAGCCUUGAUGUGUAGGAUAGGUGGGAGGCUUGGAAGUGUGGACGCCAGUCUGCAUGGAGCCGACCUUGAAAUACCACCCUUUAAUGUUUGAUGUUCUAACGUUGACCCGUAAUCCGGGUUGCGGACAGUGUCUGGUGGGUAGUUUGACUGGGGCGGUCUCCUCCUAAAGAGUAACGGAGGAGCACGAAGGUUGGCUAAUCCUGGUCGGACAUCAGGAGGUUAGUGCAAUGGCAUAAGCCAGCUUGACUGCGAGCGUGACGGCGCGAGCAGGUGCGAAAGCAGGUCAUAGUGAUCCGGUGGUUCUGAAUGGAAGGGCCAUCGCUCAACGGAUAAAAGGUACUCCGGGGAUAACAGGCUGAUACCGCCCAAGAGUUCAUAUCGACGGCGGUGUUUGGCACCUCGAUGUCGGCUCAUCACAUCCUGGGGCUGAAGUAGGUCCCAAGGGUAUGGCUGUUCGCCAUUUAAAGUGGUACGCGAGCUGGGUUUAGAACGUCGUGAGACAGUUCGGUCCCUAUCUGCCGUGGGCGCUGGAGAACUGAGGGGGGCUGCUCCUAGUACGAGAGGACCGGAGUGGACGCAUCACUGGUGUUCGGGUUGUCAUGCCAAUGGCACUGCCCGGUAGCUAAAUGCGGAAGAGAUAAGUGCUGAAAGCAUCUAAGCACGAAACUUGCC